rnacentral:rRNA from 1 species
CUUGGUCAUUUAGAGGAAGUAAAAGUCGUAACAAGGUCUCCGUUGGUGAACCAGCGGAGGGAUCAUUACCGAGUUUACAACUCCCAAACCCCUGUGAACAUACCUUAAUGUUGCCUCGGCGGAUCAGCCCGCGCCCCGUAAAACGGGACGGCCCGCCAGAGGACCCAAACUCUAAUGUUUCUUAUUGUAACUUCUGAGUAAAACAAACAAAUAAAUCAAAACUUUCAACAACGGAUCUCUUGGUUCUGGCAUCGAUGAAGAACGCAGCAAAAUGCGAUAAGUAAUGUGAAUUGCAGAAUUCAGUGAAUCAUCGAAUCUUUGAACGCACAUUGCGCCCGCUGGUAUUCCGGCGGGCAUGCCUGUUCGAGCGUCAUUUCAACCCUCAAGCCCCCGGGUUUGGUGUUGGGGAUCGGCUCUGCCUUCUGGCGGCGCCGCCCCCGAAAUACAUUGGCGGUCUCGCUGCAGCCUCCAUUGCGUAGUAGCUAACACCUCGCAACUGGAACGCGGCGCGGCCAUGCCGUAAAACCCCAACUUCUGAAUGUUGACCUCGGAUCAGGUAGGAAUACCCGCUGAACUUAAGCAUAUCAAUAAGCGGAGGA